AACCUGGGAACUGACUGAAGAAAAACUACAACUGUGUCUGAAAAACUAAAGAAAAAUCUCUUACAUAGAAGACCAUCCAACAGAGUAAAGAAUUCUGAAUUUGACAGGGUACUUUGAUAGUGAUGAGAAGGGCAGGAAGUUGAGAAGGAAACAAGAAGGAAUGCAAGAAUGAAGAGAAAUGGAAGCAGAAGAACAGAGUAGUCAAUGUAAGGUUAAACAGAGAAGAAAACAGGACUGAAGACUAUCAGAGAAUGGUGACUGAGUUACUUUCAGAGGAAUUUCAUAGCACUAAGAGAGGAGACAGCAGAACACGAUGGAGCUCUAAGAGACUAUUUUAGACCUGAAAGGUCAUAUUUCAGCUGCCAAGAACUUGUUCUCAGUUACUCUGAGCUGUACAAUAUACUCUUCAAUUUCUUGGAGACAAACCAAAGAUCCCAAAUUAUCAGCAGCCACCUGAUCUGCAGUGCUGGAGACAUGAGAAAUUCAUUACCAAUUUCAUAAAGUAACUGACUGCCCAUAUAGCAGUAUUCCUUUGGAUAACAAAUAGCAAAAAAGAGCAUAUCGAAUUUCUCAGAUGGGUAAGUUGUAGCUCCAUGGCUGGUACAAAGUCCUCUAAUAUCUUAAUGGAUGUGCUUUUGUUUAAUGAGAUGAUUCUGUACUUUCUGCUAUAUUUCUAGUGCAAUUGGCUUCUUCUAAAAUGAACUUGUGUUCUUGGCUCCGGAAAGUGAUAUGCAAUGGAAUGAUCUGUUAGCUGAACUUCAGGCUGCAGCUACUUUACUCUUGUUUAAUAGUUCAUGAUAUAGUGCUGGAACUGCUAGAGUGAUGUUGAGUUUUUGUUUUCUGUGGCCUCAGAACUGAUUCUCAUUUUUCCACUGGUUAUCGAGGCAUCUGAGAAGCAGCAUAACAGAGAAAGAACUAUGUUUUUAAAAAUAGCUAUUUCUGCAUUUCAGCAAUAGCCACACAGAAGCUUAGUAUCUUAGACAAAUAGGUGCACCCUAUUGCAUAGUAAGUUUUAGGCAAAGAAUUCCAUGAUUCAAGCAUAUUUUGUUUUACAUCCCAAAACAAGUUUUCCCUAGCCACUCUACCAGUAGGAUGAUAAAGU